UACGUAGGGUGCAAGCGUUAAUCGGAAUUACUGGGCGUAAAGCGUGCGCAGGCGGUUUUGUAAGUCUGACGUGAAAUCCCCGGGCUCAACCUGGGAAUUGCGUUGGAGACUGCAAGGCUAGAAUCUGGCAGAGGGGGGUAGAAUUCCAAGUGUAGCAGUGAAAUGCGUAGAGAUGUGGAGGAACACCGAUGCCGAAGGCAGCCCACUGGGUCAACAUUGACCCUCAUGUACGAAAGCGUGGGGAGCAAACCGG
rnacentral:rRNA from 1 species